rnacentral:rRNA from 1 species
UAGGGAAUAUUGGUAAUGUGCGAAAGCGCGAACCAGCAACGCCGCGUGCACGAUGAAGGCCUUCGGGUUGUAAAGUGCUUUUAGAGAGGAUGAGGAAGGACAGUACUUUCUGAAUAAGCCUCGGCUAACUACGUGCCAGCAGCCGCGGUAAAACGUAGGAGGCUAGAGUUAUCCGGAUUUACUGGGCGUAAAGCGCGUGCAGGUGGUUUCGUAAGUUGGAUGUGAAAGCUCCUGGCUUAACUGGGAGAGGUCGUUCAAAACUGCGAGGCUUGAGAGUGGUAGAGGGAGGUGGAAUUCCGGGUGUAGUGGUGAAAUGCGUAGAUAUCCGGAGGAACACCAGUGGCGAAAGCGGCCUCCUGGACCAUUUCUGACACUCAGACGCGAAAGCUAAGGUAGCAAACG